UACGGAGGGUGCAAGCGGUUAUCCGGAUUCACUGGGUUUAAAGGGUGCGUAGGCGGACAGGUAAGUCAGUGGUGAAAUCUCCGGAGCUUAACUCGGAAACUGCCGUUGAUACUAUUUGUCUUGAAUAUUGUGGAGGUAAGCGGAAUAUGUCAUGUAGCGGUGAAAUGCUUAGAUAUGACAUAGAACACCAAUUGCGAAGGCAGCUUACUACACAACAAUUGACGCUGAGGCACGAAAGCGUGGGGAUCAAACAGG
rnacentral:rRNA from 1 species